rnacentral:rRNA from 1 species
GUGUCAGCCGCCGCGGUAAGACGAACCGUGCGAACGUUGUUCGGAAUCACUGGGCUUAAAGGGCGCGUAGGCGGGCCGCCAAGUCCGCGGUGAAAUCCCCCGGCUCAACCGGGGAACUGCCGCGGAUACUGGAGGUCUCGAGGGAGGUAGGGGCAUGCGGAACUGCGGGUGGAGCGGUGAAAUGCGUUGAUAUCCGCAGGAACUCCGGUGGCGAAGGCGGCGUGCUGGACCUCUUCUGACGCUGAGGCGCGAAAGCCAGGGGAGCGAACGGGAUUAGAUACCCUCGUAGUCC